GAUUAACGCUGGCGGCGUGCCUAACACAUGCAAGUCGAACGACGUGGCGGACGGGUGAGUAACGCGUGAGUAACCUGCCUUCGAGAAAGGGAUAGCCUUUGGAAACGCAGAAUAAUCCCCUAUGCUCUCAGCUGGACUUGCGUCGGAUUAGUUAGUUGGUGAGGUAACGGCUCACCAAGACAGCGGUCAGUAGCCGGCUUGAGAGAGGGUACGGCCACAUUGGGACUGAGACACGGCCCAGACGCUACGGGAGGCAGCAGUGGGGAAUUUUGCACAAUGGGGGAAACCCUGAGGCAGCGACGCCGCGGGAUUUAGAAGGCCUUCGGGUUGUAAAAAUCUUUUCUAUGGGAAGCAGUACCAUAGGAAUAAGGACCGGCUAAUUACGUGCCAGCAGCCGCGGUAAUAC
rnacentral:rRNA from 1 species